rnacentral:tRNA from 1 species
AGGCGCGUAGCUCAGUGGAAGAGCGCUACCUCGACACGGUAGAGGUCAGCGGUUCAAUCCCGCUCGCGCCUACCA